rnacentral:rRNA from 1 species
UACGGAGGGGGCUAGCGUUGUUCGGAAUCACUGGGCGUAAAGGGCGCGCAGGCGGCUUAACAAGUUGGAAGUGAAAUCCUAUGGCUUAACCAUAGAACUGCUUUCAAAACUGUUAGGCUAGAGUAUGGUAGAGGAUGGUGGAAUUCCUAGUGUAGAGGUGAAAUUCGUAGAUAUUAGGAGGAACACCGGUGGCGAAAGCGACCAUCUGGGCCAUUACUGACGCUGAGGCGCGAAAGCGUGGGGAGCAAACAGG